rnacentral:rRNA from 1 species
UACGGGGGGGGCAAGCGUUGUUCGGAAUUACUGGGCGUAAAGGGCGCGUAGGCGGCCUGCUAAGUCGGAUGUGAAAUCCCUCGGCUCAACCGAGGAACUGCAUCCGAUACUGGCGGGCUUGAAUCCGGGAGAGGGAUGUGGAAUUCCAGGUGUAGCGGUGAAAUGCGUAGAUAUCUGGAGGAACACCGGUGGCGAAGGCGGCAUCCUGGACCGGUAUUGACGCUGAGGCGCGAAAGCUAGGGGAGCAAACGGG